GCUGAUAUGGCACAGGAGGCAGCGCACUUCCUUGGUAAGGAAGAGGUCGCCGGUUCGAAUCCGGCUAUCAGCUCCA
rnacentral:tRNA from 1 species